CAAAAACAAUUGCAUAUUCUUUUGGGGUUAUUGGAAUUUUAAACUUAUCAAGAAAUUCCUCAUAUGAGAGUAGAUAUCCAUCCUCAUUCAGUAACUGACCAACCAAAAUAAUUGUAUUCUCAAACCAGUUACGAAAAAAAAGAGACUUAUUUUUAAAUCGUGUAUCUUUGUUGUUCCAUAUAAAGUAUCUGUGAGGGGAACAAUUGUAUUUAUACGCUAACAUCCAACCUAAAAUUGCCUGCUUAUGGAAUUUGGAAAAUUUUACUGGGAUUUUAUCAACAUUAAAUAAAAUGACCUCGAAGCAAAAAUUUUAAACCAACAGUGUCACGACUUCCGCCGAAGUUGGCACCCCUGCCUGUUCGGGCGGUGCUCGGCGGUCGUCGUCACCGUCCUACUAGCCGCUACCGAUCCCUUUUUCGUUUGUCUGUUGGUUUUGUCUUAUUAGUUUCAACUGUGUGUAUUUUGAUUUAAUUAGCUUCCCUAUAUGUAGUAGUUUGACCCGCCCUUGUUUUGUGCGGGAUUGUUUUUUGUUACUCUGUUGGUUUUGGUUUCAUGUUUGUAUUCUCCGGACUGUUUGGUCCUGUGUUUGGGCUGGUCUGUUUGCGUGACCGUUUUUUGCCGGAGAAUAAAUUUCGAUUUACCGAACCCUGCUCUAUGCGCCUGAUUCCAACCCACCACUCAUAGUAGGCUGUGACAGAAUCCCGCACCUCUACAUGGAAUCAGCAGGAGCAGCCGCAUCUCCUCUCCCAUCGAUGGAGGAAAGGGUCCUCCAUCAUACCAGCGUUCUCCAUAGGAUUGGUUCGGCCAUGGACCAAAUGAUUUAGAGGAUGGAUCGAUGGGAGAGGAGUGGCCUUCCCACCUCAUCUCCAGCACCUCCUGUUCCUGCUACCGCAUCUGGCUCCGGGGCUCUUCGGCUGACGCUCCUACGGGAGUAUGAUGGAACGGCGGCUGGGUGCCAGGGUCUCAGGGAGGACGUCCGCAGGGAGCUAGCAUGUCGGGACACCACCCUCACACUGGAUGAACUCAUUGACAUGGCUAUCUGUCUCGACAACCGGCUGGCUGCCCGCGGGCGUUCGGAUCAGGUCCCGUCGUUUCCACUUCCCAGCACUCCUGCCCCUAUCCCUAUGGAGUUAGGAGGGGCGGCUUCGAGGGGGACCAGAGGAGGAGUGUCCUCCUGCACCAGUUGUGGUCGGCGAGGGCACACGUCCGACCGGUGCUGGAGGAACUCGUCUGGGAGUCGGGAGGGCAGGCGGAGCACUACUCGAUCACCUCAGGCUGGUGGUGGCUGGUCCCCUGCAAGAAGGUGAGGUGCCUGAGGUCCCUCCACUACCCUCUGGACAUCGAGGGGUCCCCGGCGUACACGGUUCGUGGCAUUCUGGAUUCGAGACGCCGGGUGGGCGGCCUACAGUACCUCGUGGACUGGGAGGGGUACGGUCCGGAGGAGAGAUGCUGGGUUCCGGUGGGGGACAUUUUGGACCCUUCUCUCCUGAGAGAUUUCCACCGCCUCCACCCGGCGCCUCGUCCUCCGGGUCGUCCUCGAGGCCGGUGGCGGCACGCUGCGGGAGCCGCACGUCGGGGGGGGGGUACUGUCACGACUUCCGCCGAAGUUGCCUCCCCUGCCUGUUCGGACGGUGCUCGGCGGUCGUCGUCACCGUCCUACUAGCCGCUACCGAUCCCUUUUUCGUUUGUCUGUUGGUUUUGUCUUAUUAGUUUCACCUGUGUGUAUUUUGGUUUAAUUAGCUUCCCUAUAUGUAGUAGUUUGACCUGCCCUUGUUGUGUGCGGGAUUGUUUUUUGUUACUCUGUUGGUUGUGGUUUCAUGUUUGUAUUCUCUGGACUGUUUGGCCCUGUGUUUGGGCUGGUCUGUUUUAUGUGCCCUGUAUGUUGGCGUGACCGUUUUUUGCCGGAGAAUAAAUUAGGAUUUACCGAACCCUGC
ensembl:lncRNA